GGCGAUUUCUCCUGUGGAGACCUAAGAGGGUCUAAGAGGGCAUAGUGAUUAGAGUAGGAAUUCUGGCAGUUCAUCCUUCAGUAGCUUGAAUCGAGCUCUUUGCAACUCUAAGAAGGGUAACAGAGGAAGUUGGGCAAACCCAGUCCACAUUCCCCUAAACCCUCUUCCUUUCCUUUUUUCUACAACACAGAUCCAGGGCCUGCCUGCCUGUAUUCCCUUCCAGGCUGCCAAAUGCCAAGACCUGCUCCAGACGAAGGCUGCUUUGGCCAACCAAGACUCAUCUGCCCCCAGGGGGUCACAUGGCCAAGCCAGAGGAGACAACAAGAAGCCAAAUCAACUCUGGGCCAGGUGGAU
rnacentral:lncRNA from 1 species